rnacentral:rRNA from 1 species
GACGAACGCUGGCGGCGUGCUUAACACAUGCCAGUCGAACGGAAAGGCCCUGCUUUUGUGGGGUGCUCGAGUGGCGAACGGGUGAGUAACACGUGAGUAACCUGCCCUUGACUUUGGGAUAACUUCAGGAAACUGGGGCUAAUACCGGAUAGGAGCUCCUGCUGCAUGGUGGGGGUUGGAAAGUUUCGGCGGUUGGGGAUGGACUCGCGGCUUAUCAGCUUGUUGGUGGGGUAGUGCUUACCAAGGCUUUGACGGGUAGCCGGCCUGAGAGGGUGACCGGCCACAUUGGGACUGAGAUACGGCCCAGACUCCUACGGGAGGCAGCAGUGGGGAAUAUUGCACAAUGGGCGGAAGCCUGAUGCAGCAACGCCGCGUGCGGGAUGACGGCCUUCGGGUUGUAAACCGCUUUCGCCUGUGACGAAGCGUGAGUGACGGUAAUGGGUAAAGAAGCACCGGCUAACUACGUG